rnacentral:rRNA from 1 species
AUGCUGAUGGGAUGGCUGGCGGAAACAAUACCUCAAACUCAGCAAGCUCUUCAGACAAUGCAAGAGUGUCCUUGGUUUGUAAAAGAGGGAACAUCUGGCGAAGGGGAGCCAUGUAUUUUGCAGCAUUGUAUAUUUUACCGGAGGCAACAUAGAGGAAGGUUGUAUUGUCAAACCCCAUGCCUCGCAGCAUCAUACCAACCUGCUCAAAUUCAGUCAGUUAACAUAUUAGCUCUAGUGAGUAUAUUUACAUAUUUGAAAGCUUCUAAAUUUGUUCUGAAUGCUACUAAAGAGACGCAACUGAUGGCAUUGAACUUAAAGGUUAUUAUUAUUGACCUGAAGCAUCACAAACUAAGCAACAAACUUCAAUUCUAG